AACACGUGGGCAACCUGCCUGUAAGUUGGGGAUAACUCCGGGAAACCGGGGCUAAUACCGAAUGAUAAAGUGUGGCGCAUGCCACGCUUUUGAAAGAUGGUUUCGGCUAUCGCUUACAGAUGGGCCCGCGGUGCAUUAGCUAGUUGGUAGGGUAAUGGCCUACCAAGGCAACGAUGCAUAGCCGACCUGAGAGGGUGAUCGGCCACACUGGGACUGAGACACGGCCCAGACUCCUACGGGAGGCAGCAGUAGGGAAUCUUCCGCAAUGGACGAAAGUCUGACGGAGCAACGCCGCGUGUAUGAAGAAGGUUUUCGGAUCGUAAAGUACUGUUGUUAGAGA
rnacentral:rRNA from 1 species